AUCCCAGGUGCCUGUGUCCAGGCUGGUGUCUGGGUUCUGUACCCCCUUCACCACACCAGGUGUCCUCUUCAUUCUCAGGAUGAUCACAUGAGUGCUGCUGGAGUGUCCCAUGAGGAAUGCAAAGUGCCUGAAUUUUCUGACUCUUCCCUUCAGAUGCCCCCAAGACACAUGUGACCCACCACCCCGUGUCUGACCAUGAGGCCACCCUGAGGUGCUGGACCCUGGCCUUCUACCCUGCAGAGAUCACACUGACUUGACAGCGGCGAGAUGGGGAGGACCAGACCCAGGACAUGGAGCUCGUAGAAACCAGGCCUGCAGGGGAUGGAAACUUCCAGAAGUGGGCGGUUGUGGUGGUGUCUUCUGGAGAAGAGCAGAGAUACACCUGCCAUCUGCAGACCGAGGGGCUGCCCGAGCCCCUCACCCUGAACUGGGAGCCGUCUUCCCAGCCCACCAUCCCCAUCGUGGGCAUCGUUGCUGGCCUGGCUGUCCUUGGAGCUGUGAUCACUGGAGCUGUGGUCGCUGCUGUGAUAUGGAGGAAGAAGAGCUCAGUCACACAUUUCUGGAAACUUCUCUGGGGUCCAAGACUAGAAGGUUCCUCUAGGACCUCAUGGCCCUGCCACCAUCCUGGCCUCUCACAGAAUAUUUUUUUCCCACAGAUAGAAAAUGAGGGAGCUACUCUCAGGCAGCAAGUAAGUAUGAAGGAGGCUGAUCCCUGAGAUCAUUGGGAUAUUGUGGUCAGGAGCCCGUGGGGGAGCUCACCUAGCCCGCAAUUCCUCCUUUAGCGGCAUUUCCUGUAGGCUCGGACCAGGUUCUGGUUUUGUUCUAUCCCAGGCAAUGACAGGGCUCUGAUGUGUCUCUCACAACACCUUGUAAACUGUGAGACAGCUGCCUUGUGUGGGACUGAGAGGCAAGUUUUGUUCACACCUUUUUUCUUUGUGACUUCAAGAACCCUGGCUUCUCUUACUGCAAAGGCAUCUGAAUGUGUCUGUGUCUCUAUAGGCAUAAUGUGAGGAGGUGGGGAGACCAGCCCAGCCCCGUGUCCACCAUGACCCCCUUCCCCACGCUGACCUGCAUUCCUUCCCCGUCACCUUUCCUGUUCCAGAGACUUGGGGCUGGGAUGUCUCCAUCUCUGUCUCAACUUUACGGUGCACUGAGCUGUAACUUCUUACUUUCCUAUUAAAAUUAGAAUGUGAAUGUAAUUUACUUCUUGAAAUUAUUUCCAUGAGACAUUGAUGGGUUAAUUAAAGGAAAAGAUUCCUGAAAUUUGAGAGA